UACGUAGGGUGCGAGCGUUGUCCGGAAUUACUGGGCGUAAAGAGCUCGUAGGUGGUUUGUCGCGUUGUUCGUGAAAACUCACAGCUCAACUGUGGGCGUGCGGGCGAUACGGACAGACUGGAGUACUGCAGGGGAGACUGGAAUUCCCGGUGUAGAGGUGAAAUUCGUAGAUAUCGGGAGGAAUACCGGUGGCGAAGGCGGCAUCCUGGACCAUUACUGACGCUGAGGCGCGAAAGCUAGGGGGAGCAAAAGCGGG
rnacentral:rRNA from 1 species